rnacentral:rRNA from 1 species
AGAGGAAGUAAAAGUCGUAACAAGGUUUCCGUAGGUGAACCUGCGGAAGGAUCAUUAACGAGUAACUGAACGGGUUGUAGCUGGCCUCUCGGGGCAUGUGCACACCUGGCUCAUCCACUCUUCAACCUCUGUGCACUUGUUGUAGGUCGGCAGAAGGGCGAGCCUUAAAACAGCUCGCUUGGAAGCCUUCCUAUGUUUUACCACAAACGCUUCAGUUUAAGAAUGUAACCUGCGUAUAACGCAACUAUAUACAACUUUCAGCAACGGAUCUCUUGGCUCUCGCAUCGAUGAAGAACGCAGCGAAAUGCGAUAAGUAAUGUGAAUUGCAGAAUUCAGUGAAUCAUCGAAUCUUUGAACGCACCUUGCGCUCCCUGGUAUUCCGGGGAGCAUGCCUGUUUGAGUGUCAUGGUAUCCUCAUCCUUCAUAACUUUUUGUUAUCGAAGGCAUGGACUUGGAGGUCGUGCUGGUUCCUCGUUGAAUCGGCUCCUCUUAAAUGGAUUAGCGUGAGUGUAACGGAUCGCUUCGGUGUGAUAAUUAUCUGCGCCGUGGUCGUGAAGUAACAUAAGCUUGUGCUUCUAACCGUCCUUAAGUUGGACAACAUAACUUUGACAUCUGACCUCAAAUCAGGUAGGACUACCCGCUGAACUUAAGCAUAUC